rnacentral:rRNA from 1 species
AGUGAACGCUGGCGGUAGGCCUAACACAUGCAAGUCGAACGGCAGCACAGUAAGAGCUUGCUCUUACGGGUGGCGAGUGGCGGACGGGUGAGGAAUACAUCGGAAUCUACUUUUUCGUGGGGGAUAACGUAGGGAAACUUACGCUAAUACCGCAUACGACCUACGGGUGAAAGCAGGGGAUCUUCGGACCUUGCGCGAUUGAAUGAGCCGAUGUCGGAUUAGCUAGUUGGCGGGGUAAAGGCCCACCAAGGCGACGAUCCGUAGCUGGUCUGAGAGGAGGGUCAGCCGCACUGGAGCUGAGACACGGUCCAGACUCCUACGGGAGGCAGCAGUGGGGAAUAUUGGACAAUGGGCGCAAGCCUGAUCCAGCCAUACCGCGUGGGUGAAGAAGGCCUUCGGGUUGUAAAGACCUUUUGUUGGGAAAGAAAAGCAGCAGGUUAAUACCCCGCUGUUCUGACGGUACCCAAAGAAUAAGCACCGGCUAACUUCGUG